GGUUGACCGCCACUGCUGCCAGGCGGCAAAGUGAUCAAAGUCGGGUGGCUGGCAGCAGCUGCUGGGGAAAUGCCCACCCACCUUCUCCUAUCCGCCCCAUCUCCGGAAGCCACCCCUUCCUCUGUGCGCCUGCUGCUUACCUAAGUCGGAGCAUUUACCACAGGUUGACUCUAAGACUCAAUGGAGUCUUCUUAAGCGACACAAAGUACUCAAGUGUGUUGGAUGGGUGAAUGAUCCGUGGACAGGAUAAAGAUUGUCACAGUGUAUCCUGUGACUUUGAGCUAUUCGAUCACCACAAAAUCAUUGCCUUUGAGUUGCCAUGGACUUCAGAAAUCAUCUGGUGGCUUCGGAGAAACAAAGGCUUUCUGCUACUGUGCUGUGCUCACCUGAAGCACAAUUGUGCAGAAGGUAUGAAUGUGACCCAGUGCUUUUGUAGAGGGCAGCAGUGUCAUGUUCCAAGAUCAAAAGUUAGCUGGACACCUCUAAAGUAACCCAUCUUCAGUGGAAGAUAUUACUGCCAUUAUGGGAAGCAUGAUGGAAGAUUAUUUUCAAAAAGCUGAAAGUUGAUUGACCAUAUGACCUCGCUAUCUCACUGCUUAGGUAUAUAUCAAGAAGAUAAAGGAGAUACGAUUAACAUAUAAAGUAGUUACCUGAAUACUUAUGUGCAUUGCAGUGCUAUCCAGUCCUCAAGAAAUGGGUUAAGUUUGAGUGUUCAUCAAUAGGUGAAUAAAUAAAAAAAGUACAGUGUG